rnacentral:rRNA from 1 species
ACGUCAAAUCAUCAUGCCCCUUAUGACCUGGGCUACACACGUGCUACAAUGGUUGGUACAACGAGUUGCGAGUCGGUGACGGCGAGCUAAUCUCUUAAAGCCAAUCUCAGUUCGGAUUGUAGGCUGCAACUCGCCUACAUGAAGUCGGAAUCGCUAGUAAUCGCGGAUCAGCACGCCGCGGUCGAAUACGUUCCGGCCUU